GUGACUGUGGGGCUCUAGGGCAGUGGUCCCCAAUUUGGCACCAGGGACCGAUUUCAUUGAAUACAAUUUUUCCGUGGACUAGGGCUCAGGAGAUAGUUUUGGGAUGAUUCAAAUGCAUUACAUUUAUUCUCCAAUUUCUUUCUUUUUCAUUAAAUUGAUUUUUUUUAAAUUUUAUUUAUUUUGGGGUGUGCUGGGUCUUUGUUGCUGCAUGGGUUUUGCUCUAGUUGGAGUGUGUGGCAUUCUCAUUGCAGUGGCUUCUCUUGUUGUGGAGCAAGGGCUCUAGAGCAUGUGGGCUCAGUAGCUUUGGCUCCUGGGCACUAGAGCACAGGCUUAAUAGUUGUGGUGCGUGGGCUUAAUUGGCUCCAUGGCAUGCGGGAUCUUCCCGGAUCAGGGGUAAAACCUGUGUCUUCUGCAUUGGCAGGCAGUUUCUUUUACCACUGAGCUACUGGGGAAGCCCAGUGCACUUUAUUUCUGAUCUAAUGCUGCCGCUGAUCUGACAGGAGCUAGAGUCAGAAGUCUGGGGUUUGAGACUGGACCUGGUGCUUCACUGUUUAUUUGAUGCCCAGCCAACUUCCAGACUGUGACCCAACGAACUGUAACCAGCCAAGCUCCUCUAUCCAUGGGAUUUCCCAGGCAAGAAUACUGAAGUGGGUUGCCAUUUCCUCCUUCAGGGGAUCUUCCAGACCAAGGGAUUGAAACCAUAUCUCCUGCACUAGCAGGCGGGUUCUUUGCCACUGUGCGGCCCGAGAAGCCCCAUCAUUUCUUUUUAGAUUCCACAUAUAAGGUUUUUCCCCCUUACCAUUUCAGCAAAAUUGCUUAAGACCACUAAUGACAUCCACAUUGUUAAUCCAGGGGUCAUUUCUCCUACAUUACCCAUUUGAUAGCUGAUUACUCCUUCCUCCUUGAAAUGCUCUCCACUAGACUUCCAGGACUACAACCAGUGGGGGACAUGCAGUUGUCAAUACUAUGGAUACAGACAUCUGUAACGAAAGUGCCUCUGCACACACACCAAGACACCUAGAGAUGCACCCAUCUGUGUAUCUGAACGUGGGUGGACUGCACCCUGGAGAAGGCCACACCAAGGGAGUUGCGGUGAAGGUGGCAGCCAGUGGCAUCAGUUUCUCUGGCAGAGCAGGUGGAAAGGGAAAAAGGUGAGUGAACAUCCAGCUGGUGAUGGCGCAGCUGGAGUCCUCAGCAACACCCUGAGUCCUGAAGAGAGACCUCUGUGACUGGGAGGAUGGAAAGGAAAGAAGGCAGCCAAGGACAACUGAAGGUGUGGACUUCCUGCUGUUUGUCCCAGAAUUCCACUGAGACAUGUCCUCCCCACCCUGACCUCUCUCUGCUGGCAUUCCCUUAGUAGAGGACUCCCCUACUGGGCCAUGGGCACACUCAAAGUGCCAAGUGCUUACUGUAUACCUCCCCCACCCCAACUCCAUCACCAUCCUUUUUUUAACACUAGGUUUCUUAUGCAUAUGUGUGUGUGUUCAACCCAACUAUUUUCGACCCCAUGCAUGGACUGUAGCCCAUCAGGCUACUAUGUCUAUGGAAUUUUCCAGGCACAUGCACGUCUUCCCUAUUU
ensembl:lncRNA